UACGUAGGUGACCAGCGUUGUCCGGAUUUACUGGGCGUAAAGAGCGCGCAGGCGGUCGUUCAAGUCGAGUGUGAAAGCCCCCGGCUCAACUGGGGAGGGUCACUCGAUACUGAUCGACUGGAAGGCAGGAGAGGGAAGCGGAAUUCCCGGUGUAGUGGUGAAAUGCGUAGAUAUCGGGAGGAACACCAGUGGCGAAGGCGGCUUCCUGGCCUGUUCUUGACGCUGAGGCACGAAAGCUAGGGGAGCAAACGGG
rnacentral:rRNA from 1 species